AUUGAACGCUGGCGGCAUGCCUUACACAUGCAAGUCGAACGGUAACAGGUCUUCGGAUGCUGACGAGUGGCGAACGGGUGAGUAAUACAUCGGAACGCGCCUAGUAGUGGGGGAUAACUACUCGAAAGAGUGGCUGAUACCGCAUGAGAUCUACGGAUGAAAGCAGGGGAUCGCAAGACCUUGUGCUACUAGAGCGGCCGAUGGCAGAUUAGGUAGUUGGUGGGAUAAAAGCUUACCAAGCCGACGAUCUGUAGCUGGUCUGAGAGGACGAACAGCCCAACUGGGACUGAGACACGGUCCAGACUCCUACGGGAGGCAGCAUUGGGGAAUUUUGGACAAUGGGCGAAAGCCUGAUUCAGCAAUGCCGCGUGCAGGAUGAAGGCCUUCGGGUUGUAAACUGCUUUUGUACGGAACGAAAAGCCCUGGGUUAAUACCCUGGGGUCAUGACGGUACCGUAAGAAUAAGCACCGGCUAACUACGUGCCAGCCGCCGCAGUAA
rnacentral:rRNA from 1 species